AUACCAUCCCGUGCCCGUUUCUUCGUAAACGUGGCUGGUGCGCCAAAGGCAAUUUAUGUGAUUUUUUCCACAACGGCAAACCUAUAUAUAAUAAUCCCCUACCACCAAAACACCUGGUACCGUGCCCCUUCUUACAAAAGAAAGGAAGGUGUAAAAAAGGCUCAUUCUGUGAUUUUUCUCACAAUAUUCUACCCCGCUACACCUAUUCACGAC